CAUUGUAGGAACUCAAGUCCCAGGUGUCCUGACUGUUAAAGCCAACAAAACCUGCACCAUUGGGCUGCGGGUUGAUCAUGGAAAACAUCACCGCCCUCUGGAACAGCUGGGUUUUCUGAAAAAUACAGUAUAUGUGACCUUCCAUGUGGCAAAAACAUCAAGGGUAUACUAGUCAGCUGUCUACUGGCUGAGAGGCAGCAAGUGGCAAGGUGCACAGCUACUAUACCUAAUCUACACAGUGACAAGGAUUGGAAUUACUUAAUAUUUAUUAUGAAAAUAAAAUAGUAAGCAUCAUAAUGCAAGAAACAAAUAAUAAUAAAGUAAUAUUGAUGGUAAAGCUGUCACUACCAUGAAUUUCUUGCUUAAAACACAAAUCUCAAGUUAAGAACUACAUACAAAUAAUUCUUUCCCUUAUUUGUAGAAGUUUGCUUGCGAGAAUAUCCACAUUAUAGAUUCAGAGCAACAUACAUUUUACACCACAGAGGACCAUGUACAUGUAACAUUUCAAAAAAUUUCCUCAAUAAAGUGAAAAAUAUA